GUGUCAGCAGCCGCGGUAAUACGGAGGGUGCAAGCGUUAUCCGGAUUCACUGGGUUUAAAGGGUGCGUAGGCGGGCAGUUAAGUCAGUGGUGAAAUCUCCGGGCUCAACCCGGAAACUGCCGUUGAUACUAUCUGUCUUGAAUGUGGUGGAGGUGAGCGGAAUAUGUCAUGUAGCGGUGAAAUGCUUAGAUAUGACAUAGAACACCGAUUGCGAAGGCAGCUCACUACACCGAAAUUGACGCUGAGGCACGAAAGCGUGGGGAUCAAACAGGAUUAGAUACCCUGGUAGUCC
rnacentral:rRNA from 1 species